rnacentral:rRNA from 1 species
AUCUCCUACGGGAGGCAGCAGUGGGGGAUAUUGCACAAUGGGGGAAACCCUGAUGCAGCGACGCCGCGUGUGGGAAGACGGUCCUCUGGAUUGUAAACCACUGUCCCCAGGGACGAAGAUGACGGUACCUGGGGAGGAAGCUCCGGCUAACUACGUGCCAGCCGCGGUAAUACGUAGGGAGCGAGCGUUGUCCGGAAUUACUGGGUGUAAAGGGGGCGUAGGCGGGGCUGCAAGUUGGGUGUCAAAACUACCGGCUCAACUGGUCGUCGCACUCAAAACUGCAGAUCUUGAGGGAAGU